UACGGGGGGAUGCAAGUGUUAUCCGGAAUAAUUGGGCGUAAAGCGUCUGUAGGUGGUUGACCAAGUCUGUUGUUAAAAAUCAGGGCUCAACCCUGAUCCGGCAACAGAAACUAGUAAACUUGAGUACGGUAGGGGCAGAGGGAAUUCUCGGUGUAGUGGUGAAAUACGUAGAUAUCGAGAAGAACACCAAUAGCGAAAGCACUCUGCUGGGCCGAAACUGACAUUGAGAGACGAAAGCUAGGGGAGCAAAAGGG
rnacentral:rRNA from 1 species